CCAUGGAGGUUCUGGUUACAGCCAUAAAGGUGGAAUCCAUGGAGGCUCUGGUUACAGCCAUAAAGGGGGAAUCCACGGAGGCUCUGGUUACAGCCUCAAACCUUUAAGCCAUAAAGGGGGAAUCCAUGGAGGCUCUGGUUACAGCCAUAAAGGGGGAAUUCAUGGAGGCUCUGGUUACAGCCAUAAACCUUUAAGCCAUAAAGGGGGAAUCCAGGGAGGCUCUGGUUACAGCCACAAGGGUGGAAUCCAUGGAGGCUCUGGUUACAGCCUCAAACCUUUAAGCCAUAAAGGGGGAAUCCAUGGAGGCUCUGGUUACAGCCAUAAAGGGGGAAUUCAUGGAGGCUCUGGUUACAGCCUCGAACCUUCAAGUCAUAAAGGUGGAAUCCAUGCAGGCUCUGAUUACAGCUUCACCAGUGGAAUUCAUGGACACGGGCUGUCAUACAGCCAUAGUGUAGGUCUUGGAAAUGGGUUUCCAAACAGUGGACUUGUUGCUAGUUAUGGAAGCUAUGGAAGUUAUAAAAAAUAAAUCUAUGGAAGUUAUAUGAAAUAAAUCUAUGGAAGUUAUAUGAAAUAAAUCUAUGGAAGUUAUAUGAAGUAAAUCUAUGGAAGUUAUAAUAAAUAAAUCUAUGGAAGUUAUAGAAAAUUAAACCAUGGAAGUUAUAAGAAAUAAAUCUAUGAAAGUUAUAUGAAAUAAAUCUAUGGGAGUUAUAGGAAAUAAAUCUAGAGAAGUUAUAACAAAUAAAUGUAUGGGAGUUAUAUGAAAAUAUUCCAUGGAAGUUAUAUGAAAUAAAAUCAUGGAAUUUAUAGGAAAUAAAUCCAUGGAAGUUAUAUGAAAUAUAUCUAUGGAAGUUAUAUGAAAUAAAUCUAUGGAAGUUAUAUGAAAUAAAUAUGGAUGUCAUAGGAAAUAAAUAUAUGGAAGUUAUAUGAAAUAAAUGUAUGGAAGUUGUAGGAAUAAAUCCAAAGAAGUUAUAGUAAAUAAAUUCAUGGAAGUUAUAUAGAAUAAAUCUAUGGACGUUAUAGGAAAUACAUCUCUAGCACUUUACGUGAUGAGAGAUCACAAUUUUUUUCCUCAUAGUGAGGAUGUAUAAACUACUAUGUUGAAUUAUUCAUGCUGUUAAUAAACGUUAAUUACAA